AUACACUUAUCAAGAAAACAAGUUUAACCCGUUAGUGCGUACUUUGGAUAGCCUCUUUGCAUAAAUUGGCACCUAGUGAGAUUAUUAUAUUAUUUAUUAAUGCUCCUCUGGAUCUGCAAAAUGCUUUCAAUUUACCCAUACAAAUAUAAUACAGUAGUUUAGGAGAUUAAAAUUACCUCACUUAUAAAUUUCAGAAAUUGUCUAAUCUCCAAUAAAAAUACCAUGUUAUUAUUACCCCAUAAUCAAUGAGGCAUACUAGAUGAAUCUUACUUUGACACAAACAAUGCAAUAUACUUUAAAAGUAGAGUUAACUCUGAGCUGGACAAUACUCCCCUAUUAGAACUCCUUUAUGAGGGAGAGACAUCUUGUCCAUUCAAUCCUUUUUAUCAGUAAAAGAAUGACUUUCAGGAUUAAUCAGUUUGCAAAUGGAAACGUGGACCCACGAUUUGAACAGCAGAAGUUUGCAGGGCCCCUUUCACGUGGGAUGUAACAAGCGCUUUUCGUGCUCCAUGAGCGAUAGCAUACAAUUGUUUCAUUCUAGCCGGCUGGACAGCAUUUCACCUUUUGUAAAAACACUAAAUGCUUGCGUUAAUGAUAUGCAAAUCACUCUGCUAGUUAAACUCCUACACAAUGGACAAUAAAAUACAUAAAACACAUAACACACCAAUUCAUUUCAAACCAUAUAACUCAUACUCAGCAUUCAAUGUAAUAUUACAUGUCAUCUCACAAAACAGACAUCUCACAAAACAGACGUAGUAGAUACACGUAUCGGGUACCCAGCAGAUAUGCCAAUACAGAAAACACAUUCAUGAGCACACAACUACACACUCUGUGUCCCUCCUAGGAAACACAGGUAGACACAAUAUGAAAGCAGUCUUAAACUAAUACCUCCAAAUCUCCAUUCCCAUAUAGCUAUAUCAGACCACAACACAGAGCCUCUCUGAGCUCAUAGAACUACUCCAACUCCAACUACUCUUGGCCAGAAUGCUAGUAUUCAACAGCUAACAAAACCGUUAUUUGCUGGGUUAUUUGACUGGCAUUUUUAUCAGUAUCACUAGACUGAGACAAACUGAUUCAAAUAUAAUUUAAAACAACACAGCAACAUAUAAAUUAAACCACUUUCCAGGUAAGCUGCACACUUCACACAUUAUCACAGUCACCAUUUACACAGAAUAAACAGUUAACAGCUGUACUCAGAACAUAUUAUAAGGUAUACCAUUUUUAGUUUAUAUUAGAUUUAUUUUAGGGAUUCUUAUGUAUACUUUAUUUUAUUAUUUUUUUAUUUUUUUUU